CGGAGGGUGCAAGCGUUGUUCGGAUUUAUUGGGCGUAAAGCGCGUGUAGGCGGUUUCUUAAGUCUGAUGUGAAAGCCCCGGGCUCAACCUGGGAAGUGCAUUGGAUGCUGGGAGACUUGAAUACGGGAGAGGGCAGUGGAAUUCCUAGUGUAGGAGUGAAAUCCGUAGAUAUUAGGAGGAACACCGGUGGCGAAGGCGGCUGCCUGGACCGAUAUUGACGCUGAGACGCGAAAGCGUGGGGAGCAAACAGGAUUAGAUACCCUGGUAGUCCACGCCGUAAACGAUGAGAACUAGGUGUUGCGGGUAUUGACCCCUGCAGUGCCGCAGCUAACGCAUUAAGUUCUCCGCCUGGGAAGUACGGUCGCAAGACUA
rnacentral:rRNA from 1 species